rnacentral:rRNA from 1 species
CACUGCCGAGAAAAGCCUCUAGAUAGAAAAUAGGUGCCCGUACCGCAAACCGACACAGGUAGUCAAGAUGAGAAUUCUAAGGUGAGCGAGCGAACUCUCGUUAAGGAACUCGGCAAAAUGACCCCGUAACUUCGGGAGAAGGGGUGCUCUUUAGGGUUAACGCCCAGAAGAGCCGCAGUGAAUAGGCCCAAGCGACUGUUUAUCAAAAACACAGGUCUCUGCUAAACCGUAAGGUGAUGUAUAGGGGCUGACGCCUGCCCGGUGCUGGAAGGUUAAGAGGAGUGGUUAGCUUCUGCGAAGCUACGAAUCGAAGCCCCAGUAAACGGCGGCCGUAACUAUAACGGUCCUAAGGUAGCGAAAUUCCUUGUCGGGUAAGUUCCGACCCGCACGAAAGGCGUAACGAUUUGGGCACUGUCUCAACGAGAGACUCGGUGAAAUCAUAGUACCUGUGAAGAUGCAGGUUACCCGCGACAGGACGGAAAGACCCCGUGGAGCUUUACUGUAGCCUGAUAUUGAAAUUCGGCACAGCUUGUACAGGAUAGGUAGGAGCCUUUGAAACGUGAGCGCUAGCUUACGUGGAGGCGCUGGUGGGAUACUACCCUAGCUGUGUUGGCUUUCUAACCCGCACCACUUAUCGUGGUGGGAGACAGUGUCAGGCGGGCAGUUUGACUGGGGCGGUCGCCUCCUAAAAGGUAACGGAGGCGCUCAAAGGUUCCCUCAGAAUGGUUGGAAAUCAUUCAUAGAGUGUAAAGGCAUAAGGGAGCUUGACUGCGAGACCUACAAGUCGAGCAGGGUCGAAAGACGGACUUAGUGAUCCGGUGGUUCCGCAUGGAAGGGCCAUCGCUCAACGGAUAAAAGCUACCCCGGGGAUAACAGGCUUAUCUCCCCCAAGAGUUCACAUCGACGGGGAGGUUUGGCACCUCGAUGUCGGCUCAUCGCAUCCUGGGGCUGUAGUCGGUCCCAAGGGUUGGGCUGUUCGCCCAUUAAAGCGGUACGCGAGCUGGGUUCAGAACGUCGUGAGACAGUUCGGUCCCUAUCCGUCGUGGGCGUAGGAAAUUUGAGAGGAGCUGUCCUUAGUACGAGAGGACCGGGAUGGACAUACCUCUGGUGUACCAGUUGUCGUGCCAACGGCAUAGCUGGGUAGCUAUGUGUGGACGGGAUAAGUGCUGAAAGCAUCUAAGCAUGAAGCCCCCCUCAAGAUGAGAUUUCCCAACUUCGGUUAUAAGAUCCCUCAAAGAUGAUGAGGUUAAUAGGUUCGAGGUGGAAGCAUGGUGACAUGUGGAGCUGACGAAUACUAAUCGAUCGAAGACUUAAUCAAAA